GCCGGUGUGGCGGAAUUGGCAGACGCAGCAGACUCAAAAUCUGCCGUGGGAAACCAUGUGCCGGUUCGAGUCCGGCCACCGGCACCA
rnacentral:tRNA from 1 species